GUGGGGAAUAUUGGACAAUGGGCGCAAGCCUGAUCCAGCCAUGCCGCGUGUGUGAAGAAGGCCUUUUGGUUGUAAAGCACUUUAAGCGAGGAGGAGGCUACUUGGAUUAAUACUCUAGGAUAGUGGACGUUACUCGCAGAAUAAGCACCGGCUAACUCUGUGCCAGCAGCCGCGGUAAUACAGAGGGUGCGAGCGUUAAUCGGAUUUACUGGGCGUAAAGCGUGCGUAGGCGGCUUUUUAAGUCGGAUGUGAAAUCCCUGAGCUUAACUUAGGAAUUGCAUUCGAUACUGGGAAGCUAGAGUAUGGGAGAGGAUGGUAGAAUUCCAGGUGUAGCGGUGAAAUGCGUAGAGAUCUGGAGGAAUACCGAUGGCGAAGGCAGCCAUCUGGCCUAAUACUGACACUGAGGUACGAAAGCAUGGGGAGCAAACAGGAUUAGAAACCCGUGUAGUCC
rnacentral:rRNA from 1 species